AUGAGUACUGGAAACGAAAACUGGAGGACAAAUGCAGAAACACACAAGAUGAGUUCAGAACAAGUAAAAGCAGCAGGAGUGGAAGAUUCAAAGAGACCACCAGGUAGUAGCCAUGGCUCUGGUAGAAAUGUUCUUCACCAAAGGAAAUCACUUCCAUUCAACUAUUCAACAAUGGCUGUAACUGGUUUGCUUAUUACAGCUGCUAUUGGAUAUACGGUUUUGUAUUCGAAGAAGAAACCAGAAGCUACUGCUGGUGAUGUUGCUAGGGUUUCUGUUGGGGUUGCAGAUCCUGAGGACACUCGCCCUAAGAAAUAG